UACGUAGGGUGCGAGCGUUAAUCGGAAUUACUGGGCGUAAAGCGUGCGCAGGCGGUUCGUUAAGUCAGUUGUGAAAGCCCCGGGCUCAACCUGGGAACUGCAUUUGAAACUGGCGGGCUUGAGUGUGGCAGAGGGGGGUGGAAUUCCGCGUGUAGCAGUGAAAUGCGUAGAGAUGCGGAGGAACACCGAUGGCGAAGGCAGCCCCCUGGGCCAACACUGACGCUCAGGCACGAAAGCGUGGGGAGCAAACAGG
rnacentral:rRNA from 1 species